rnacentral:rRNA from 1 species
GGGUUGUCAUGCCAAUGGCACUGCCCGGUAGCUAAAUGCGGAAGAGAUAAGUGCUGAAAGCAUCUAAGCACGAAACUUGCCCCGAGAUGAGUUCUCCCUGAGACUUUAAGUCUCCUGAAGGAACGUUAAAGACGACGACGUUGAUAGGCCGGGUGUGUAAGCGCAGCGAUGCGUUGAGCUAACCGGUACUAAUGAACCGUGAGGCUUAACCUUACAACGCCGAAG